GUCUACGUAGCUUAAACCACCCCCAAAGCAAGACACUGAAAAUGCCUAGAUGGAUUCACACAUCCCAUAGACA
rnacentral:tRNA from 1 species